rnacentral:rRNA from 1 species
GUUAAGCGACUAAGCGUACACGGUGGAUGCCCUGGCAGUCAGAGGCGAUGAAGGACGUGCUAAUCUGCGAUAAGCGUCGGUGAGGUGAUAUGAACCGUUAUAACCGGCGAUUUCCGAAUGGGGAAACCCAGUGUGUUUCGACACACUAUCAUUAACUGAAUCCAUAGGUUAAUGAGGCGAACCGGGGGAACUGAAACAUCUAAGUACCCCGAGGAAAAGAAAUCAACCGAGAUUCCCCCAGUAGCGGCGAGCGAACGGGGAGGAGCCCAGAGCCUGAAUCAGUGUGUGUGUUAGUGGAAGCGUCUGGAAAGGCGCGCGAUACAGGGUGACAGCCCCGUACACAAAAAUGCACAUAUUGUGAGCUCGAUGAGUAGGGCGGGACACGUGGUAUCCUGUCUGAAUAUGGGGGGACCAUCCUCCAAGGCUAAAUACUCCUGACUGACCGAUAGUGAACCAGUACCGUGAGGGAAAGGCGAAAAGAACCCCGGCGAGGGGAGUGAAAAAGAACCUGAAACCGUGUACGUACAAGCAGUGGGAGCCUCUUUAUGGGGUGACUGCGUACCUUUUGUAUAAUGGGUCAGCGACUUAUAUUCUGUAGCAAGGUUAACCGAAUAGGGGAGCCGAAGGGAAACCGAGUCUUAACUGGGCGUUAAGUUGCAGGGUAUAGACCCGAAACCCGGUGAUCUAGCCAUGGGCAGGUUGAAGGUUGGGUAACACUAACUGGAGGACCGAACCGACUAAUGUUGAAAAAUUAGCGGAUGACUUGUGGCUGGGGGUGAAAGGCCAAUCAAACCGGGAGAUAGCUGGUUCUCCCCGAAAGCUAUUUAGGUAGCGCCUCGUGAAUUCAUCUCCGGGGGUAGAGCACUGUUUCGGCAAGGGGGUCAUCCCGACUUACCAACCCGAUGCAAACUGCGAAUACCGGAGAAUGUUAUCACGGGAGACACACGGCGGGUGCUAACGUCCGUCGUGAAGAGGGAAACAACCCAGACCGCCAGCUAAGGUCCCAAAGUCAUGGUUAAGUGGGAAACGAUGUGGGAAGGCCCAGACAGCCAGGAUGUUGGCUUAGAAGCAGCCAUCAUUUAAAGAAAGCGUAAUAGCUCACUGGUCGAGUCGGCCUGCGCGGAAGAUGUAACGGGGCUAAACCAUGCACCGAAGCUGCGGCAGCGACACUAUGUGUUGUUGGGUAGGGGAGCGUUCUGUAAGCCUGUGAAGGUGGCCUGUGAGGGUUGCUGGAGGUAUCAGAAGUGCGAAUGCUGACAUAAGUAACGAUAAAGCGGGUGAAAAGCCCGCUCGCCGGAAGACCAAGGGUUCCUGUCCAACGUUAAUCGGGGCAGGGUGAGUCGACCCCUAAGGCGAGGCCGAAAGGCGUAGUCGAUGGGAAACAGGUUAAUAUUCCUGUACUUGGUGUUACUGCGAAGGGGGGACGGAGAAGGCUAUGUUGGCCGGGCGACGGUUGUCCCGGUUUAAGCGUGUAGGCUGGUUUUCCAGGCAAAUCCGGAAAACCAAGGCUGAGGCGUGAUGACGAGGCACUACGGUGCUGAAGCGACAAAUGCCCUGCUUCCAGGAAAAGCCUCUAAGCAUCAGGUAACAUCAAAUCGUACCCCAAACCGACACAGGUGGUCAGGUAGAGAAUACCAAGGCGCUUGAGAGAACUCGGGUGAAGGAACUAGGCAAAAUGGUGCCGUAACUUCGGGAGAAGGCACGCUGAUAUGUAGGUGAAGCGACUUGCUCGUGGAGCUGAAAUCAGUCGAAGAUACCAGCUGGCUGCAACUGUUUAUUAAAAACACAGCACUGUGCAAACACGAAAGUGGACGUAUACGGUGUGACGCCUGCCCGGUGCCGGAAGGUUAAUUGAUGGGGUUAGCGGUAACGCGAAGCUCUUGAUCGAAGCCCCGGUAAACGGCGGCCGUAACUAUAACGGUCCUAAGGUAGCGAAAUUCCUUGUCGGGUAAGUUCCGACCUGCACGAAUGGCGUAAUGAUGGCCAGGCUGUCUCCACCCGAGACUCAGUGAAAUUGAACUCGCUGUGAAGAUGCAGUGUACCCGCGGCAAGACGGAAAGACCCCGUGAACCUUUACUAUAGCUUGACACUGAACAUUGAGCCUUGAUGUGUAGGAUAGGUGGGAGGCUUUGAAGUGUGGACGCCAGUCUGCAUGGAGCCGACCUUGAAAUACCACCCUUUAAUGUUUGAUGUUCUAACGUUGGCCCGUAAUCCGGGUUGCGGACAGUGUCUGGUGGGUAGUUUGACUGGGGCGGUCUCCUCCUAAAGAGUAACGGAGGAGCACGAAGGUUGGCUAAUCCUGGUCGGACAUCAGGAGGUUAGUGCAAUGGCAUAAGCCAGCUUGACUGCGAGCGUGACGGCGCGAGCAGGUGCGAAAGCAGGUCAUAGUGAUCCGGUGGUUCUGAAUGGAAGGGCCAUCGCUCAACGGAUAAAAGGUACUCCGGGGAUAACAGGCUGAUACCGCCCAAGAGUUCAUAUCGACGGCGGUGUUUGGCACCUCGAUGUCGGCUCAUCACAUCCUGGGGCUGAAGUAGGUCCCAAGGGUAUGGCUGUUCGCCAUUUAAAGUGGUACGCGAGCUGGGUUUAGAACGUCGUGAGACAGUUCGGUCCCUAUCUGCCGUGGGCGCUGGAGAACUGAGGGGGGCUGCUCCUAGUACGAGAGGACCGGAGUGGACGCAUCACUGGUGUUCGGGUUGUCAUGCCAAUGGCACUGCCCGGUAGCUAAAUGCGGAAGAGAUAAGUGCUGAAAGCAUCUAAGCACGAAACUUGCCCCGAGAUGAGUUCUCCCUGACUCCUUGAGAGUCCUGAAGGAACGUUGAAGACGACGACGUUGAUAGGCCGGGUGUGUAAGCGCAGCGAUGCGUUGAGCUAACCGGUACUAAUGAACCGUGAGGCUUAACCUU